rnacentral:lncRNA from 13 species
CUGUGAGGUAGUUGGUGAUUUCUCUUCUGCUCUUAGCGAAACAUCCAUCCUGUUUUUCUGAAGAGUCAUUUCAAAGACUAAGAGUGAAGACUGAGGCUGGGUCUGGGACCCCAGAACUUCCCAGCCACUCUGAAGAAAAAGCAGGAUCGAGACUAUUAUUCCCUCUGCACAAAGAAACUUAAGGUGAAGGAGGAGCACAGGAGGAAUUAUCAAGGAAACCUGGCACAGACCAAGGCCCUCUCAUACCCACAACAUGCCAUAUGAUUGGCCCUGGCCCCAUACCACUGAGGCCUCGACUCUGCCCCGUGUCCUGUAGCCAGCCCUACUGGCUUCCCUGUGGUUCCUGCACUCCAGGUGGAGUCUUGCUCUGUCCUCUAGGCGGGAGGGCAGUGGCACUAUCUCAGCACACUGCAACUUCCACCUCCCAAGUUCAAGCCAUUCUCCUGCCUCAGCCUUCUGAGUAGCUGGAAUUACAGGAGCCCACCACCAGGCCUGGCUAAUUUUUGUAUUUUUAGUAGAGUCAUUGUUUCACCAUGUUGGACAGGCUGGUCUGUAACUCCUGACCUCAAGUGAUCCACCCACCCCAGCCUCCCAAAGUGCUGGGAUUACAGCCCUGAGCCCCCGUGCUGGGCCUGACAUCUUUUGCCAUCUGUUGUCUCUGAAGCCUGCUACCUGGAGGUUUCAUUUACACUGUAAGUACCUUGGCUUCCACAAUCUAUCUAAACUCGAACACUUUUUUGGUUUCUUUGUUUUUUUCUUUCCAACUUUUACUUUAGGUUCAAAGGGUACAUGUGCAGGCUCG